CCCCACUGCUAUCGGGAUAGGACUAAGACAUGCUAGUCGUGUGACUCAGGCAAAACGAGUCACGGCACACAGCUCAGUAACACGUGGCUAAUCUGCCCUUAGGACAAGAACAACCCCGGGAAACUGGGGCUAACUCUUGAUAGGCAAAGAACUCUGGAAUGAGUCUUUACCUAAAUAGAUUCACGUUAUCCUCGUGAAUCUGCCUAAGGAUGAGGCCGCGACCGAUCAGGUUGUUGGUGAGGUAAUGGCUCACCAAGCCUUUUACCGGUGCGGGCCGUGGGAGCGGGAGCCCGGAGAUGGGUACUGAGACAAGAACCCAGGCCCUACGGGGCGCAGCAGUCGCGAAACCUUUGCAAUAAGCGAAAGCUUGACAGGGCUAUCCCGAGUGCCAUCCGCUGAGGAAGGCUUUUACCCAGUCUAGAAAGCUGGGGGAAUAAGGAGAGGGCAAGUCUGGUGU
rnacentral:rRNA from 1 species